rnacentral:lncRNA from 1 species
AAUUAAGACAUUGCAGAGUUAGAAUAAAGGAGUGGUUUAAGGCUAAUUUUUACCCUAAUUAGUGAAUAAGAUAAAUUAAUUUUUUUUACUCCUCUUAUAUUAUCUUUUUACCCCUAAUUAGAAAGGAAGAAAAUAACCAUUGAAAAUUUUUGGAAAGAUAUUUCUACAUGAUUCUAACAGUUGAGGAUUUUAGAGAGACAUAUUUGUGAUGGAAAAAAAUAUCAUUUCAUUUAUCUUCCAUUAAAAAAAUAGUAUUCUAACGGUAAUAAAUCGGAGUGGCAAAUAUGAAUAUCACUAAACUUUUGUGGGGGUAAAUAUUAAAAGUUGAACUUUGCAGUAAUAUAUUUACUAUUCGAUAUGUUUACAGGGAGCUGUAUGAAAUUAACCCUUCUUUAAACUAUCAUAAAUAUAUAACCAUUUUUAAAUUUUCUUAUAAAUAUAUAUUAUUAUUCCAUACUAUAUUAUAAAAUAUUAAUUUUUGGACCAAAUUAAGUAGAUAUAAGUUUUUAAAUUUUAUUUUUUAAUUAAAAAUAAAAUUAGAAAAAACUAAUAAUAAAUAAAAUUAAAAAUUAAACUGAUGAACAAAAAAAUGAAAAAUAAAAAGAAAAAAUCCAGCCGAUUUGUUGAGAAUUGGACGGGUUAACCAGUUCGCUUAUUGAACUGCCGAACCGAACGGUUCAAAAUGAGUUUUUUCACUUAUUUGAUUCAAAUGAUAGAACUGAACUGUUUUAUUAACUCGAUUAUGAUCGAGCAGGUCCAAU